GGGAGACAGGCCAGUGCCAGAGCUGUGAAAAGAGAGACAUCUGGUGUGUUUGCGGAACGCUGAGAAGCCAGUGUGGCUGAGACAAGCCUAGGUCGACGAGUGCACGCAUUCAACAGACGUUUCUUGGGCAGCUACCCGAUGCCGGGCCCACACUCGCCUCUAGUGGUGCGCAGCAGUCUCUGCCCACACAGACUUCAGGGCUGGCUGAAGGUUGGCACUGUUGUCAAGAGUAAACAGGUUUACGAGAGGCCUGUUGGAUGCCCCUGCACGCGGUAGAGCACCAGCUGAAGGAGAGGAACUGCCAGGAGGAAGUGCCAGGCAGGCACUGCAGCUGCCACGUGCAGAAGGGCAGAAGUGCACAAGCCACACGCAACUGUGGGUAGAUUUUGAAGGAUGCUGUGCAAUAGCCGAGAUUCGGGAGGAACCGAUGUGCCCGUGAGUGGAAGGAUGGAUGAAGAUGUGGUGUAGACACACCACGGACUAUCACCAGGCAUAAAAAAGAAUGAACUCUUGCUAUUUGUGACAACAUAAAUGGCCCUAGAGAAAGACAAAUCCCGUAUUAGUUCACAUACAUGUGAAAUCUAAAACAAAUGUAAAGACAAGACAGAAACAGACUCCAAAGACAUAGGCAACAAACUGUUGGCCGCCCAAGUGGAGAAGAGUUGGGAGGCAGGCACAGUAGGUGAAGCAGAUGAAGAGGUACAAAGUUCCAGUUAUAAAAUCAAUAAGUCGUGGGGAUGUGAUGUUAGAGCCAGGGGAAUACAGUCAAUAACACGGUAAUAACUUUGUGUGGCGACAGAUGGUAACUAGACUUACUGUGGGACUCCCUCUGUAAUGUAUACAAAUAUCAAGUCACGAUGAUGUACACCUGAGGCUAAACAAAAGUUACCCACGACUAUGGGAAUAAUUAGAGCAUCUUUUUAUUUGGGCCAAGGAGAUAAAGGCUGCGAGGGGAAUCAGAUCAGAUACAAUCGGGGUAUUUCUUCAGAACCUCUAGCUGUAAUGUCUUACUUACCUACGGGCUAUUAGACUAGAGUCUUACUGUGCAUUUCUUUUAUUUAUAGUCAUCACGGGAAGUCAAUUUGUCACUCCUCCGGUCAGCCAGUGGAAGAUUACAUAAGGAGCGCCGGCUUGCUGUGUGCUGCCCAAGAGAUGGAUUAUCGUGUCAAAAUCAGGCUACCACGGUUGUGAUGCUGUCCAGUGCAAUUCAGAAAUUCCUGACUGACCUUCACAUUACAAACAGAUUUCUGCUGUUUCUCAGCAUGAUUUUCCAGGACUUUCACUAACUUGGCAAUUUGCACUAUUGAUCAAGUCAGAGUUCUAGUCAAGUAUGUGCUACAAAAUACCAAGUUGUGGGUUUUUUUUUUAAAGGUCAACGAACAAGUUGUACCUUAGUACAUUUCAUACAGAAAUUGAAGUGAUUCUUCUUACUUACCUGCCUUAGGUGUGUCUAAGAUGGGCAAGGAUGUAGGGCAACUCGGGAGUGAGGAAGGUAGGAGUCGUCGGGGCCCAGCAUUCAAUGGGUUUAAACCAGUGAUCACCGUUUACUGAGAGUAGCCGAUGGACGCGAGGAUGUUGUUAGGAAGGAGGUUGGGCAUGUGGGGCAGAAAUGCCCCUGGUGAGGCAGCUUUUCUUUCCGUAAAGCACUGAGGUCCCCCUCUGCUCCCUCCCACAGAGGGAUUGUAUCAGUCAGUGUCCAACAGGAAACAGAAAAUACCAAAAAAUUGAAUAAAGUUGAACAUAAAAAAGUAACGGGAUUUCAGUCAUGGGGGAUUGGCAAAUGCAAGCCAAAAGAAUUUAGACAAACACAAGACUAGCGAUAUAGGCGGAGCCAUUAGCCCUGGCCCUGAAGUGGAGAUGCGGACCUUCCAGGAGAGGGCCCAGCAGAGGCUCACUGGGUAUGCGAGGUGCACAAAAUAUUCCCCUGGAGUGCUGGGAGAUGCCAUCCUCAUAGAGGUGCCUCAGGACUCUGCAGAUUGCAGUGGUCUGGGAAGGCUGGUUGAGGGGAGAAGCCAUGUCCACCAGCCUUCUUCUCUGAAGUCUACCCCGGGGGUGUGUGGAGGGGAACUGUUUACGGAGAGGUGCUAAGCAGUGGCUCCCCCUGGGACACUGCUCCAGGGGAGGGGGUGCUGAGAGUCCAGUCCCAGUGAGAGACACUAUCAUGGACGCUCCUGAAAGGGGUGUGCGGGGCAAGCUGCCAUAAAUAGGGGUCACGUGCUGCUGGCCGAGAGGCGUUGCUGAGAAAAUCGCACACUCUGCAGGGGCCCUACAAGCUCAGUACUGCAGGCCAGGCAGAGAGACCUCUCACUCAUCCGAGAUCCCUCUCGGCCAUCAGAUGUUGGGCCAACUGGCAAUGGAGAGAGAUUUGCAGAACUUAGCUCUGUUAUUGCAGAGCAUGGAAGAACACGUGGAUUUGGAGCUGAGAGGUAAUAAAUCGAUAACUCACAUUGUGCUCUAGAUGUCUCCCUAUCACCUCUCAUUCUCUGAAUGAGGGAGACCCUGUGCUCCUUGCUUUCUGGAGAAAAUCCUAUUUAGACUAAAAACAUUUGCUGCAAGGUGCCCUCUCUUGUGCUUCGAGCCUACUAUGAGAUUCAAAGUCUCUUAAUGAAGAAAAAGACUUAUUGUACAGCCCACCAUGCCCUGCACAUAAAACAAUUACAGCUCGGUGCCAGGUGUCAUUACUUUGGACAAGCCCUCACAACAAUGCCUGGAGACUGAUCUGAGGCUCUUGUAGAGAGCGGCAAGAAAGCAAUUUAGAAAAGCAAUAAUAAAAUGGAUGGUGGCAGCCAAAGUCUAUUCACAGGGAAUUACCUUAAAUAUACUUGCCAUUUUAGCUUUCUGGAGUGUUUCCUUUGUAAUUACAUGGAGGCCUCUCAGGGACUCUAGUUUCUUUAUCAGCUCCUUCAAAUUACAUCUGAGAAGAUGAGGCGGAUAGUUAUUUAGGUCAGCACAGUUUUCGUAUUUAUUUGUCUUCUGCGUAUAUUUCUUAACAAACAACACAAAAGAAAAAGGCACUCAGCGUUGACACAGAAAACCUGAAAUCUAGCCUUUUUAAGAGGACUCUCGGCAAUUGGAAUCAAACCAGAACCUGUACUUCUUCAUCUACUUGAGGAAGAGACCACUUCUUUGGCAUAUGUGGUGGAUUUGCUGGGUCGUCAUUUUCUGAGCUGAAGAGCCUCCUCUCUGUGCUCCCGCCCCAGUAUAUUCACAUGCCCGCAGGACAGGGCUUGACAGUAGUUACCACCCCAAUAAGAAACCUGCAUGGGCAGAUGUUGGCUACAGCAGGAGGCCCCAUGGCUCAGGCACCAGGUAACACCAUGCCCCGGGAGGGCUCGGUAGGGGGCUGUCAGAACUGGAGCUGCUCGAGCCAUGUGAAUUGGGAUCCUCUGGUCUGCACACGAUGAUUGACUUAUUCGGCCCCUUUGCUUGCACUACUUACUCCUGAAGAGGAUGACGAAGAUAACCCAGAACGACGGCAGAAGAAGUAAUUUCCUUUCUGCUUAGAAGAGAAUUUGACUGGCAUCUUUCAAACAUGAACGAGAACCCAUAAGGGAGUCGUGCAAAAAUAAUCAGCACAUAGCAAUGGACAAAUGGUGGUCUUUAGCACUGAAAAGCAUGAUAAAUUUUAAUUUAUAUAUAGAUUCUAUGAAAAAAGGCAAUCAAAAUGAAGAAAACAACAAUGACAAAAAAUGACGACCCUGUUGCCAGUUAAUAGUAAUUUUAUUUUCUGAUGUUUGUGGCUUUGUGAGCAUUCUUUAAACCUGUAAUGAUUUCUUUUCUCAUUCUGAAACAACAAAUUUUCCUUAUAUGAAUAAAUGAAUGUGAAAUGAAAAGGAAAUGAAAGGAAAGCGUGGAAGAGGGAAGGUUUUGGAGACAUGGAAGGGACAUCCACAGGAGUAAAGACAACAAAAAGAGGAUUCUGGUAGGUUUUAUAGCUAUUUUUUUAUUUAGAGCAAUUAUGUAAUGGGAACUUUGACUAAUUCUAGAGUUUAAAUGUACACACAGGAGACCUUAAAGUCUCGAGAAAAAAAAAUCAUUGCAUAAAAAAAUGAAGUCUUUAGCACCUGUUCAACUCAUCUCUAGGGAGAUAAUUCAUUUAACAGAAACUGUAGUCUCAGAUAUCCAGCAGGAUAACGCUAAUCCUCAAGAGCUUUUGAGUGACGAGUAAUCUGAUACUGUAUCCCUUAUCACAUUUUAUUUUGCUACGAAUUAGAGUGUGCUGAUUUUUAAAAAGCUUACUGUAUG